GCUGGGUGUAGUGUUGUAUGUCUGUAAUCCCAGAGGCUUGGGAGGCUGAGAUAGGAGGAUCUCGAGUUCAAAGCCAGCCUCAGCAACAGUGAGGUGCUAAGCAACUCAGUGAGAUUCUGUCUCUA
rnacentral:sRNA from 1 species